rnacentral:rRNA from 1 species
GAUGAACGCUGGCGGCGUGCUUAACACAUGCAAGUCGAACGAAGCGCCUUAUUUGAUUUUCUUCGGAACUGAAGAUUUGGUGACUGAGUGGCGGACGGGUGAGUAACGCGUGGGUAACCUACCCUGUACAGGGGGAUAACAAUCAGAAAUGACUGCUAAUACCGCAUAAGACCACAGCACCGCAUGGUGCAGGGGUAAAAACUCCGGUGGUACAGGAUGGACCCGCGUCUGAUUAGCUGGUUGGUGAGGUAACGGCUCACCAAGGCGACGAUCAGUAGCCGGCUUGAGAGAGUGAACGGCCACAUUGGGACUGAGACACGGCCCAAACUCCUACGGGAGGCAGCAGUGGGGAAUAUUGCACAAUGGGGGGAACCCUGAUGCAGCGACGCCGCGUGAGUGAAGAAGUAUUUCGGUAUGUAAAGCUCUAUCAGCAGGGAAGAAAAUGACGGUACCUGACUAAGAAGCCCCGGC